rnacentral:rRNA from 1 species
GACGAACGCUGGCGGCGUGCCUAAUACAUGCAAGUCGAACGCACAGUUUAUACCGUAGCUUGCUACACCAUAGACUGUGAGUUGCGAACGGGUGAGUAACGCGUAGGUAACCUGCCUGGUAGCGGGGGAUAACUAUUGGAAACGAUAGCUAAUACCGCAUAAUAUUAAUUAUUGCAUGAUAAUUAAUUGAAAGGUGCAAUUGCACCACUACCAGAUGGACCUGCGUUGUAUUAGCUAGUAGGUGAGGUAACGGCUCACCUAGGCGAAGAUACAUAGCCGACCUGAGAGGGUGAUCGGCCACACUGGGACUGAGACACGGCCCAGACUCCUACGGGGGGCAGCAGGAGGGAAUCUUCGGCAAUGGACGAAAGUCUGACCGAGCAACGCCGCGUGAGUGAAGAAGGUUUUCGGAUCGUAAAGCUCUGUUGUAAGAGAAGAACGGGUGUGAGAGUGGAAAGUUCACACUGUGACGGUAUCUUACCAGAAAGGGACGGCUAACUACGUG